CUGCAGCCAAUUAAGCCAACCGGCGGCCUCCUUGUGGGGGCUGGUGUGCAAUGGCUGCAAACAGCAAGCCUCCUCGAAAGUGUAUGCAGCCUAUUGGUAUGUCUAGGCUGCCCUAAGGGACCUUGGAGACAACU
rnacentral:snoRNA from 1 species